AAAUAUUGUUAAUGGAAAGAAUUGGAGGGAGCUCAACCAACGUGAGUCGAAGUGCAAUCCAAAAAUAUAAUCAUCAUUGAAAAGGAAAAAGACACAACUCGCACAUAGGUUAGGCUACUAUGGUGAGCGAGCGUUGCCCCUUUUCAUUUUCAAUAAAUAUUGAUUACCCAUUCAUUUGUCUCUGCCUGCAAGUCAUCCUCCCAAAAGGUAGGCUAUAUCCUAUAGGCCUAUGCCAGUGUCACUGUCAUCAUUCUUGCUGCUUCCAGUUCAGUAGCCAUACCUGCGAGAUCAGGUGCGAGUGUGAUCUCAAAAUAGAGUAGGCUAUAGCCUAUGCAUGGGUGGAGAAGCACUGUCAGUUAUCUUUCCAAGGAAAUGUACUUCCAUAAUAGGCCUAUGAUUAGGCUAUAGUUUACUACAACAGAAUGAGUCACAACAAAACAUGUUAUAACCGUGUAUGUGUGUGGUAGGCUAACUGACGGUAUUUGUCACAGGGGAAGACUCCAGAUAAUGAGGCAUAUUUCCAGGAGAACAUACUAUUGCUUGCCUCUGACAUAAUUUCCUGUGUUUUGAUUGAUUGUGUGUUGUUGAGUUGGGGCUAGAAGACAAAUAGUAGUGUGAUUGAAUAUCAUGGGUGCCUGCUAAAACUAACGCAGGGGAUUUCCUUAGGGGAUAGAAUAUAAUAUUAUCGUUGCCCAUUUUGAAGGUGGCUAACUGAAUUGCUCUAUCCAGUCUCAGAGAGACUUUUAUCAGUCAUAGACUAUACCUGCAAUAUAGUCACAACCUUUACCCACUACACCAAGCAGGUUGAUAUGGCCUGUACAGAAAGGGAACAGAUUGGCGAGCAGUUAAAGUAUGUAUUCUUUUUGGAAGGGGAUACAUUUGAUAGACAUUAGGAAUAUUCCAAACCCCACCAGAUUGUACAAUUGUGUCCUAAUAUCUGAAUAACUAUCAAUUUAGAAGAAUAGAUCAAAUAGAAGUAUCAUUGCUUUGUUUUUCUAAAUAAUCUGACUAACUGUUAUCACUGGGUUGACGUGUCACUAUUUGGAGUUUCUGACAUGUAGUUAAAAAAAACUCUGUCAUUCCAACAGACCAAUUUGGUUUCAAUUUCGACCACAUUAAAACACUGCUCUGAUGUUUACGGAAGACAGGUUAUAAAUAACCACUGGGAGUCAGUCCGACAUACAGCAGGCAGAACGAGAGUUUUAAGAAUCAGAAGAACACUCGCUCAUUCACCGCGAAUUUAUAACUUAAUACUUCGCCAACUGGCGCAGGCGUAGUACACGAGGAACCGCCCCUGCACUGCAGAGGAGGAGCCGUGACAUAUGCUACCUGCCACCUUUGAUGUAAUUUGUCAAACUGAGAAAACUCAAGUCACAUGACAAAAGGUUGUUGUCUUCCCAUUUUUUUGGCAUCAAAGUUAUGUCCUUUACCACUACAUGAGUGUUGCUGCUUUCUAGAGGGAGAUGGCGAACAGCAAUGCCAAGCUGUGUGUGUCUGUUUUGGGUUCAUUGUGGAGAUGAGCUGGAGGUUGAGGGAGCUUCAAUCCUGGGGACUGAUGGAAAGGAAGAUGCUAUAUAGAGUCUGGUGGGGCUGCUGCUGAGAGGAGUGGGAGACAAACUCAAUGAGGAGGAGGAAGCUUUUGUGAAUGAUGAUGAGGAAGUCGACUGAGCCAGAGGGAUUUUCCCCAUUCUAUACCCCCAUUGUCUUCUUCCCGAUUAUACACUUUUUUCCCAAAGUAUGCACUUGCGCAUUUUCUGUCAUGGAUCAGAAUUUGAUUGGCGUAAUUAUUGGCUAAAGGGAGUUCCCACCAUUGUUAAAUCUAUGACGGGAAAGGGUGGAUAAUUGGGAUCUAGCUCUCUAACCCCAGCCCUAACCCCUAGAGAAGUUUCAACUCAGGGUAAUGUAUUGCUAUUAUUGCAUGCCCAAUUAAACAUUGAUUUUGCACAAAGAAACAUGUACAUAGACAUAUAGAUGACUGUCUUCCAGAGCCAUAGGAUAUGAGGGAAACUGUUCAUCUCAAGCCCCAUUCCAUCUUUUGAAUUAUAAAUGUAUAUGAUAUAAGAAUGUAUAUGAAACUACAGUAUUCAGGUGUUUUUGUUACAUUUUAAUUGGGACUAUAGGAAUGUAAAAAAUAGACAAAUCUGUUGAAUGAAACCUAUUUACUUGUAUAAUUUUACAUUAUAUUUAGUUAUUUACUUUAUUUUUUAUUGUAAGAAUAAUGAUGAUGAUGAGACUGCGUACCAUUGAUCUAGCCUUGUCACGCCGUGAUCUGUUACACCUGUCCUUGUGCUUGUCUCCUCCUCCCCCCAGGUGUCGCCAAUCUUCCCUAUUAUCACCUGUGUAUUUAUACCUGUGUUCUCUGUCUUGUUUGUUGCCAGUUUGUCUUGUUCGUUCAAGCUUACCAGCGGUUUUCCUGUCAGCGGCUAUUGUUUCCAACCCUUGCUUUGCUAGUCCUCCUGGUUUUGACCGAUGCCUGACAUCUCUGCCUGAGCCUGCACCUUUGCUCCACCUCUGGAUUACUGAACCCUGCCUGACCCUGAGUCUGCCUGCCGUCCUGUACCUUUGCCUAACCCUUGAUUUUCGACCCCUGCCUGCCUUGACCUGUCUUUGCAUGUCCCUGUUUGCUACAAUAAACAGGGUUACUUCGACAGUCUGCAUCUGGGUCUUACCUUGAUUCUUGAUAAGCCUAUACUGUCAGAUCCAAAUAAUGUUUACAUAAAGCAACAUUGCCAAAGAUGUCAACAUUCCAGACCUCCAGGACAUGUCCUCAUUUGAUCCAGAGAUGGAACCACUGGUUAAAUCGUGACUGGACCAAAGACUGGGGCAGGUACUGUAGCCUACGUAUGCUGUAUGGAAGUGCUACAAUUCUGAGUGGUAUAUGGUCAAACGGUAAUUCUGUGUGCAGAGUCUAUGCAAUGGAAUGUCUGCCUUAUUUGUUUAAGAAUAAUUAAACAAAUUCCAUGUUAUGAUUAUAGUGUUCAAUGUUAACACUGAUUUAGACAGCUUUGUGACUGUUUGAUUUGUUAUUAAUUUAUUGAAUAAAAAUAGAUCUACUGGGCUCCUGAGUGGCGCAGAGGUCUAAGGCACUGCAUCUCAGUGCUAGAGGUGUCACUACAGACCCUGGUUUCGAAUCCAGGCUGUUUCACAACUGGCCAUGAUUGGGAGUCUGCACAAUUGGCCCAGCGUCAUCCGGGUUUGGCCGGGGUAGGCCGUCAUUGUAAAUAAGAAUUUGUCCUUAACUGACUUGCCUAGUAAAAUAAAAAAAUACUGAAAAGACUCCUAACAUUGUGUGAAAUGAUUUAUGACCAAA
rnacentral:lncRNA from 1 species